GCAGGCUGCAACUCGCCUGCAUGAAGUCGGAAUUGCUAGUAAUCGCGGAUCAGCAUGCCGCGGUGAAUACGUUCUUGGGCCUUGUACACACCGCCCGCCACACCAUGGGAGUCGGUAACACCCGAAGUCUGUAGCCUGACGCAAGAGGGCGCAGCCGAAGGUGGGAUUGAUGACUGGGGUGAAGUCGUAACAAGGUAGC
rnacentral:rRNA from 1 species